rnacentral:rRNA from 1 species
UAGGGAAUAUUGGUCAAUGGAUGGAAGUCUGAACCAGCCAUGCCGCGUGCAGGAAGAAGGCCUUCUGGGUUGUAAACUGCUUUUGCCAGGGGAUAAAAUGACCUUGCGAGGUUAAUUGAAGGUACCUGGUGAAUAAGCCACGGCUAACUACGUGCCAGCAGCCGCGGUAAUACGUAGGUGGCAAGCGUUGUCCGGAUUUAUUGGGUUUAAAGGGUGCGUAGGCGGCUUAUUAAGUCAGUGGUGAAAUACUCUAGCUCAACUAGAGGGGUGCCAUUGAUACUGAUGAGCUUGAGUACAGAUGAGGUAGGCGGAAUUGACGGUGUAGCGGUGAAAUGCUUAGAUAUCGUCAAGAACACCUAUAGCGAAGGCAGCUUACUAGGCUGUAACUGACGCUGAGGCACGAAAGUGUGGGGAUCAAACAGGAUUAGAUACCCCCGUAGUCC